rnacentral:rRNA from 1 species
UACGAAGGGGGCUAGCGUUGCUCGGAAUCACUGGGCGUAAAGGGUGCGUAGGCGGGUUUUUAAGUCAGGGGUGAAAUCCUGGAGCUCAACUCCAGAACUGCCUUUGAUACUGGCGAUCUUGAGUCCGGGAGAGGUGAGUGGAACUGCGAGUGUAGAGGUGAAAUUCGUAGAUAUUCGCAAGAACACCAGUGGCGAAGGCGGCUCACUGGCCCGAUACUGACGCUGAGGCACGAAAGCGUGGGGAGCAAACAGGG